rnacentral:rRNA from 1 species
GAUGAACGCUGGCGGCGUGCCUAAUACAUGCAAGUCGAGCGAACGGACGAGAAGCUUGCUUUUCUGAUGUUAGCGGCGGACGGGUGAGUAACACGUGGAUAACCUACCUAUAAGACUGGGAUAACUUCGGGAAACCGGAGCUAAUACCGGAUAAUAUUUUGAACCGCAUGGUUCAAAAGUGAAAGACGGUCUUGCUGUCGCUUAUAGAUGGAUCCGCGCUGCAUUAGCUAGUUGGUAAGGUAACGGCUUACCAAGGCAACGAUGCAUAGCCGACCUGAGAGGGUGGUCGGCCACACUGGAACUGAGGCACGGUCCAGACUCCGACGGGAGGCAGCAGUAGGGAAUCUUCCGCAAUGGGCGAAAGCCUGACGGAGCAACGCCGCGUGAGUGAUGAAGGUCUUCGGAUCGUAAAACUCUGUUAUUAGGGAAGAACAUAUGUGUAAGUAACUGUGCACAUCUUGACGGUACCUAAUCAGAAAGCCACGGCUAACUACGUG